rfam:Firmicutes bacterium CAG:103 genomic scaffold, scf73
UGACGGAGCUCUGGAGAGACGAUUCCGCACCGAAGAAGCAAGGCCGCGCGGCCAAUCUUUCAGGUAAAAGGACAGAGUACACACC